rnacentral:SRP_RNA from 1 species
GCUAGGUGUGGUGGUGCAUGCCUGUAGUCCCAACCACUCAGGAGGCUGAGACAAGGGGAUCACUUUAGCCCAGGAGGUCAGGGGUGUAGUGAGCCAUGAUUGGAUCAGUUCACUUCAGCCUCAGCAACAGAGUGAGACCUUGUCUCAA